rnacentral:lncRNA from 1 species
UCAGGCCUUCGACUUUGCUCAUGUUAGGACGAGGUUCUCCUCCUAUUCCUAACAUGGCUGUGGGGGCACAUAAGGGCCGUUGCAAGAGCCUCUCCCCCCAUCCGAUCUCUAAAUAAUCGAACCUUAGACUUUGUUCAUGUUAGAACGAGAUUCUCCUCAUGUUCCUAACAUGGCUGUGGGGGCGCAUAAGGGCCAUUGCAAGGGCCUCUCCCCCCAUCCAGUCUCUAAAUAACUGUGCCUUCGACUUUGCUCAUGUUAGGAUGAGGUUCUCCUCCUGUUCCUAACAUGACUGUGGGGGCACAUAAGGGCCGUUGCAAGGGCCUCUCCCCCCAUCCGAUCUCUAAAUAACCGGGCCUUCGACUUUGCUCAUGUUAGGACGAGGUUCUCUUCCUUUUCCUAAUAUGGC